rnacentral:rRNA from 1 species
CUACGGGAGGCAGCAGUGAGGAAUAUUGGUCAAUGGGCGCAAGCCUGAACCAGCGACGCCGCGUGGGUGAAGAAGGCCUUCGGGUCGUAAAGCCCUUUUCUGUGUGUAGAGAGAGGACGGUAGCACAGGAAUAAGCGUCGGCUAACUACGUGCCAGCAGCCGCGGUAAAACGUAGGACGCAAGCGUUAUCCGGAAUUACUGGGCGUAAAGGGCGUGCAGGCGGUUCUUUAAGUUAGGCGUGAAAGCUCCGGGCUAAACCUGGAGAGGUCGUCUGAUACUGGGGAACUAGAGUGUGGUAGAGGGGUGUAGAAUUCCGGGUGUAGUGGUGAAAUGCGUAGAUAUCCGGAGGAAUACCAGUGGCGAAGGCGGCACCCUGGGCCAUAACUGACGCUAAGACGCGAAAGCAUGGGUAGCGAACGGGAUUAGAUACCCUAGUAGUCC